rnacentral:rRNA from 1 species
GAUGAACGCUGGCGGCGUGCUUAACACAUGCAAGUCGAACGAAGCACUUUAAAACAAUCUUUCGGGUGCGUUUUAUUGUGACUUAGUGGCGGACGGGUGAGUAACGCGUGGGUAACCUGCCUCAUGCAGGGGGAUAACAGUUAGAAAGGACUGCUAAUACCGCAUAAGCGCACAGUACCGCAUGGGACCGUGUGAAAAGAUUUAUCAGCAUGGGAUGGACCAGAGUCUGAUUAGCUAGUUGGUGAGGUAACGGCUCACCAAGGCGACGAUCAGUGGCCGACUUGAGAGAGUGAUCGGCCACAUUGGGACUGAGACACGGCCCAAACUCCUACGGGAGGCAGCGGUGGGGAAUAUUGCACAAUGGGGGAAACCCUGAUGCAGCGACGCCGCGUGAGCGAUGAAGUAUUUCGGUAUGUAAAGCUCUAUCAGCAAGGAAGAUAAUGACGGUACUUGACUAAGAAGCCCCGGCUAACUACGUGCCAGCAGCCGCGGUAAUAC